rnacentral:rRNA from 1 species
UAAGGAAUAUUGGGCAAUGGAGGCAACUCUGACCCAGCCAUGCCGCGUGGAGGAUGAAGGCCCUCUGGGUUGUAAACUUCUUUUACGGGGGACGAAACCACUUUUUUCUAAGAGUGUUGACGGUACCCUGGGAAUCAGCACCGGCUAACUCCGUGCCAGCAGCCGCGGUAAUACGGAGGGUGCAAGCGUUAUCCGGAUUCACUGGGUUUAAAGGGUGCGUAGGCGGGCAGGGAAGUCCGUGAUGAAAUCUCCGGGCUUAACUCGGAAACUGCCGUGGAUACUCUCUGUCUUGAAUACUGUGAAGGUGAGCGGAAUAUGUCAUGUAGCGGUGAAAUGCUUAGAGAUGACAUAGAACACCAAUUGCGAAGGCAGCUCACUGCGCAGCUUAUUGACGCUGAGGCACGAAAGCGUGGGGAUCAAACAG